CCGUCAAUUCCUUUGAGUUUUAACCUUGCGGCCGUAGUCCCCAGGCGGUGAACUUAUCGCGUUAGCUACGGCACUGACGGAUUUAAACCCGCCAACGCCAAGUUCACAUCGUUUACGGCUAGGACUACCGGGGUCUCUAAUCCCGUUUGCUACCCUAGCUUUCGCGUCUGAGCGUCAGAAAUGGGCCAGGAAGCCGCUUUCGCCACUGGUGUUCCUCCGGAUAUCUACGCAUUUCACCACUACACCCGGAAUUCCGCUUCCCUCUACCACUCUCAAGCCUGGCAGUAUUGAACGACCUCUCCCAGUUAAGCCGGGAGCCUUCACAUCCAACUUGCCAUGCCGCCUGCACGCGCUUUACGCCCAGUAAAUCCGGAUAACGCUCGUCUCCUACGUUUUACCGCGGCUGCUGGCACGUAGUUAGCCGAGACUUAUUCUGCAGGUACCGUCCUUCCUCUUCCCUGCAAAAAGUGCUUUACGACCCGAAGGCCUUCAUCGCACACGCGGCGUUGCUGGUUCGCGCUUUCGCACAUUAACCAAUAUUCCCUACUGCUGCCUCCCGUAGGAGU
rnacentral:rRNA from 1 species